rnacentral:lncRNA from 1 species
AUGCCAAUAGUGCAGUGCCAUCGUAUACAGCAGGUGAGCAAGGCAGGGCAGGGAGCUGAAACCCCACUAUUCAAAGCUGAUCUACCCCUGCUUCAAAAGAGACCUCCUGACUGGAGCAGCUGGAUGAAACUGAGGCAGGGAUUUGAGGAGAAAAGUUGUGCUGAGAGCCAGCAGGCGGGAGCGAGCAGCCCGGCACAGCCCAACGCAGCAGCAGGACCCGCUCAGCCGAGUCGUCAGGGAUUUUCUUGGCGUUGCUGGGCCUCGUGCAGAGGCGCUGAGCGCAGUACAGCUGCUCCGCAGAACAGCGUGACGGAUCACCGGGGAUUUUGCAGAAACCACUCCUCAUAACUGAAACAGUGUUUGGUUUUCUGUACAAAAUACAACGUGGCUUAAGUAAUUCCUGUUUGUGACCACCCCGAGGUCCUCGCGCCCCAGCUGCCUGGCAGGAGCGAUGCGCUGUGGUCAGUGCUGUGUUUUGUGAGUGUGGCUCGUGCUUCCCUUUUUUUUUGGGGGGGGGGAAAGGGAAGGGGUACCUGUGCUAUAAAUUAUACCUGCAUUUGCUGGGGAGUCUGUGAUCUUCGGCAGCAACAUUGCAACAUGCAGGAGCUAAUGCUUGUUGCAGGCUGCCUGUGCUCAGCUUUGCUGGCGCUUUACUGGCUCCGUCGUCCUCCUCUGACGCGGCAGUGAGCAGACGCCUGACAGCUCUGCUAUUGCACGCUAAGGCCUAGGUGGGAAAAUACAGGCAUUUAGAGCAUGUUUGUGUGCUUCUGCUUUUAGUCAUUCCUGAAUUCAGACUCUUCCCAGGCCGCAGCAAAGGGGAGGGUGGCUGCCCGCCACCCCCCCCCCCCCCCCCCCCCCCGAAGCAUU